rnacentral:lncRNA from 1 species
CGUUGGAAGUCAUCAUGUACAGUGUCACAAAUCUCUAUAAAAUAAUCGCAUUUGAAAUAUGUGAGCUAUACAAAUUGUCAAAUUUUCUGGUGGAUUGGAUGUAUCACGCGUUAAUUGAAUCUGCAUAGGAUUCAUCGACACCGGUUGUUCUAACUUUUAAUGGAAAGUUGCAGGUUAAUUGACAAGUUAGUAUUUUUCAUCUGCUAUCAAAAUGCAUUACACGUUUACACUUUUUUGAACGGAUUGAACUCUUUGCUAACAGUAAUCACAAAUGCUAGCUGAUAAGAAUGGAUGAAGAAGAGUCAAA